GAUGAACGCUGGCGGCGUGCCUAAUACAUGCAAGUCGAGCGAACAGACGAGGAGCUUGCUCCUCUGACGUUAGCGGCGGACGGGUGAGUAACACGUGGAUAACCUACCUAUAAGACUGGGAUAACUUCGGGAAACCGGAGCUAAUACCGGAUAAUAUAUUGAACCGCAUGGUUCAAUAGUGAAAGACGGUUUUGCUGUCACUUAUAGAUGGAUCCGCGCCGCAUUAGCUAGUUGGUAAGGUAACGGCUUACCAAGGCGACGAUGCGUAGCCGACCUGAGAGGGUGAUCGGCCACACUGGAACUGAGACACGGUCCAGACUCCUACGGGAGGCAGCAGUAGGGAAUCUUCCGCAAUGGGCGAAAGCCUGACGGAGCAACGCCGCGUGAGUGAUGAAGGUCUUCGGAUCGUAAAACUCUGUUAUUAGGGAAGAACAAAUGCGUAAGUAACUAUGCACGUCUUGACGGUACCUAAUCAGAAGGCCACGGCUAACUACGUG
rnacentral:rRNA from 1 species